rnacentral:rRNA from 1 species
UACGGAGGAGGCAAGCGUUAUCCGGAAUUAUUGGGCGUAAAGCGUCCGCAGGUGGCUGACUGCAAGUCUGUCGUCAAAGACCGGGGCUUAACCCUGGGAAGGCGGUGGAAACUGCUCAAGCUAGAGAGAGGUAGGGGUAGAGGGAAUUCCCGGUGUAGCGGUGAAAUGCGUAGAGAUCGGGAAGAACAUCGGUGGCGAAAGCGCUCUACUGGACCUAAUCUGACACUCAGGGACGAAAGCUAGGGGAGCGAAUGGG